UCAGAUUGAACGCUGGCGGCAGGCCUAACACAUGCAAGUCGAGCGGUAACAUUUCUAAGCUUGCUUAGAAGAUGACGAGCGGCGGACGGGUGAGUAAUGCUUGGGGAUCUGCCUGAUGGCGGGGGACAACCACUGGAAACGGUGGCUAAUACCGCAUAAUACCUAUGGGUCAAAGUGUGGGACCUUCGGGCCACACGCCAUCAGAUGAACCCAAGUGAGAUUAGCUGGUUGGUAAGGUAACGGCUUACCAAGGCGACGAUCUCUAGCUGGUCUGAGAGGAUGAUCAGCCACACUGAGACUGAGACACGGCCCAGACUCCUACGGGAGGCAGCAGUGGGGAAUAUUGGACAAUGGGGGCAACCCUGAUCCAGCCAUGCCGCGUGUGUGAAGAAGGUCUUCGGGUUGUAAAGCACUUUCAGUGGUGAGGAAGGUGGUGUCGUUAAUAGCGGCAUCAAUUGACGUUAGCCACAGAAGAAGCACCGGCUAACUCCGUGCCAGCAGCCGCGGUAAUACGGAGGGUGCGAGCGUUAAUCGGAAUUACUGGGCGUAAAGCGCACGUAGGCGGUAUGUUAAGCAAGAUGUGAAAGCCCAGAGCUCAACUCUGGAAUAGCAUUUUGAACUGGCAUGCUAGAGUUUUGGAGAGGGUGGUAGAAUUU
rnacentral:rRNA from 1 species